rnacentral:rRNA from 1 species
UGGGAANUUAAACCUCUUCCAGAGUAUCAAUUGGAGGGCAAGUCUGGUGCCAGCAGCCGCGGUAAUUCCAGCUCCAAUAGCGUAUAUUAAAAUUGUUGCAGUUAAAAAGCUCGUAGUUGAAUUUCUGCUGCAUUGCUUUUGCUCCUUUACGAGUCUUUGCAUUGUGGCUUAUUUCGGACUUUGUUUUACAAUGUCCGGAUGUUUACUUUGAGAAAAUUAGAGUGCUCAAAGCAGGCUUUCGCCUUGAAUAGUUUAGCAUGGAAUAAUAAAGUAGGACUUUGGUUCUAUUUUGUUGGUUUUAGGUACCAAAGUAAUGGUUAAUAGGAACAGUUGGGGGCAUUCGUAUUUAACUGUCAGAGGUGAAAUUCUUAGA